AUAAAACUAAUUUUAUUAUCAAAAUCAAUUUACCCUUUAAGUAGUAUAAAAACAUUUAUACUUAUAAUAACAAUAUCAAAAUACUUAUACAUAUCCAGUAUGCUAGGAAUGAAGUUACUUACCUCGAGAAAUGAACUUGAAUUAACACACCUCUAAGCUUCUAAGAGCCUCAAUCACCUUCAACUCCCGUCGCUUGAUUCUCUCCUAAACAAAGGUUUGAAUCCUAGGAUUUGGGUAAGAGCGUAAAGAGCAGCAGGGAAGAAGAAUAAACGUUGUGAAUUUAGGGUUAUGGGAGAGAAAAAGUAUGAAUUUAUAGGAAGUCUUAAGAAACCCUAUUUAAUUAGGGAAAUAACCAUCUUCCCAAAAUUAUCUCAUAAAUAACCUCUUAAUAAGGGUUAUGGGCCACCUAUAAUUCUCAAUGAAAGCCCAAUUUCCAUAACUUAAUAUAUAUGAGAAUUUGUGGCGUUACAAUUUCUCCCCUCCUAACAAAAAUUUCGUCCUCGAAAUUAAAAGGUUAGCUCAUUGUAACCCUUAAUUACAAUUAAGUAUCUUGCCAGGUCUUGGUUGGGUCAUGACAUUAUGGUAUCAGAGCGGCUCCGCGUGUCCUCUUGAGCGAUGGUGGGGCAAACCUCAGCGAGGACGCUGAGUCCCCAAGGGGGGGUGUAUGUAACACCCUAGGCGAAUCCCACAUCGGCAAAGCACGGGAGAGAUGCUGGGUCAAAAGCAUUUAUAAAAUACUUUGUUAAAGAGAAUUUAGCUUUAAAACAUUUACAUAAAACUAAUUUUGUUAUCAAAAUCAAUUAAUCCUUUAAGCAGUAUAAAAACAUUUAUACUUAUAAUAAUAAUAUCAAAAUACUUAUACAUAUCCAGUAUGCUAGGAAUGAAGUUACUUACCUCGACAAAUGAACUUGAAUUAACCCACCUCUAAGCUUCUAAGAGCCUCAAUCACCUUCAACUCCUUAAACAAAUACAAGAUAUGACAAUUAAUGACUUAUUCUAAGAAUCUGAUUUUCUAAUUCAUACCUGUACAGGUCUGAUUCUCAGAAUUUUAACUCUUAAUCUAAAACUCAGAAUGAUAUAAUAUUCUAUGGAACUAUUCUGGACAUCCAUGAAUACCCCAUGUAAAAUUUACAAGAGGAUCCGAUAUCAAAAACAUUUUAAAAACUAUUUACUACUCAGCAAACUCGAAACUGUUUUCACAUAAUCUAAACCAAACAGAACGGGUUCCGUAAUUUUUAUAAAAUAAAAUACUAACCAGAAAAUUAUAAAAUUAAAACUGGGAAUCCUAGACACAUAUAUUAACCUACAUAUAAACUUUCAGAAUUUUCCGAGUUCAUUUGAUGGUACAAAUAGUCUUGUGAAUCCGAUCGCAAUGCUGGAAUCGCAGUUUUCCAGUGCGGUGGUUUCUGUUUCGAAAAUACAUAUAAAAUUCAAAACGAAAUCGAAUUCAAUGAAAUAAAAUUUAAUCAAGAAUCCCUACAUGUCUAGUUCCCAGAAAUAUAAAUUUUAUAAGAAAAUUCGUUCAGAAAAUAUAGCUUUAAAUUCGAGAUACUCAUGCUGUCCAGAAUUAUCCUGUGCUUAAUACGUCAAUGAUUGAUUAACUAAACUCAUAAUAAAUCAAAACCCUAAACAAGGCCUAAAUAUAUUAUAAACCAUGCAUUAUGAUCUACAACCAUUAGAAUCGUGCCAAUAUAAACCCUAGCUAGAUAGAGAUUAGAAAUAUGUUGAGAACAUGGAGAAUAACUUACCCGUCGCUUGAUUCUCUCCUAAACAAAGGUUUGAAUCCUAGGAUUUGGGUAAGAGCGUAAAGAGCAGCAGGGAAGAAGAAUAAACGUUGUGAAUUUAGGGUUAUGGGAGAGAAAAAGUAUGAAUUUAUAGGAAGUCUUAAGAAAC
rnacentral:lncRNA from 1 species